rnacentral:rRNA from 1 species
UGGCGGCAUGCCUAACACAUGCAAGUCGAACGAGACCUUCGGGUCUAGUGGCGCACGGGUGCGUAACGCGUGGGAAUCUGCCCUUGGGUUCGGAAUAACUCAGAGAAAUUUGAGCUAAUACCGGAUGAUGACGAAAGUCCAAAGAUUUAUCGCCCAAGGAUGAGCCCGCGUAAGAUUAGCUUGUUGGUGGGGUAAUGGCCCACCAAGGCGACGAUCUUUAGCUGGUCUGAGAGGAUGAUCAGCCACACUGGGACUGAGACACGGCCCAGACUCCUACGGGAGGCAGCAGUGGGGAAUAUUGGACAAUGGGCGAAAGCCUGAUCCAGCAAUGCCGCGUGAGUGAUGAAGGCCUUAGGGUUGUAAAGCUCUUUUACCAGGGAUGAUAAUGACAGUACCUGGAGAAUAAGCUCCGGCUAACUCCGUGCCAGCAGCCGCGGUAAUACGGAGGGAGCUAGCGUUGUUCGGAAUCACUGGGCGUAAAGCGUGCGUAGGCGGUGACUCAAGUCAGAGGUGAAAGCCUGGAGCUCAACUCCAGAACUGCCUUUGAAACUAGGUCGCUAGAACAUCGGAGAGGUGAGUGGAAUUCCGAGUGUAGAGGUGAAAUUCGUAGAUAUU